rfam:Enterovibrio pacificus strain CAIM 1920 contig016, whole genome shotgun sequence.
GCUUACUUGUCGGAGUGCCAUUUGGCUGAGACCGCUACUGCGGGAUCCGUUGAACCUGAUCAGGCUAAUACCUGCGAAGGGAACAAGAGAAUGAAAUUG